ensembl:lncRNA novel transcript
CUGAGUGCAGACAGGACACCACAUCAUCUGGGACAAGAGAGCAGACUGCUAUGACAGGUUGGUCUCAGGCCGACAGGACCCAGCCUGGGCCUGACCCACUGGUUAAGCACUGGGAGGCACAGAUGUAUGAGGACUUGCCAUCUAGGAGUCAGAGAAUCAGCACAUAUCUUGUCAUGUCAUAGCUGAAGAGCUGCCACCUAGACCUGUUCCUGCUGCUUCACUCUGGUUUUCCCAUGGCCCAUAUGGAAGGGAACC